UCUCAGUGCUUCUUGGCUGCUGUAUACUUAAGUGCAGAUAAGAGAUGCCAUGUGUAUACAAAAGGAAGACAAACCGUGCUUCCUAUGGGGCCAGAGUUCUACAGGAUGGUCUACAAGCAAUUAUACAACGGAAACUACAAUUCAAUUAGCUCAUUUAUUUGGUAUCAGUAAGUAAUUGAUAAAUAUUUUUAGAGAAGGCCAUUUAUUUGUUAUUAAGUAGGUUCAGUACUCAGUGCGUAGUUGAAAAAUAUUUGUAGAGAGUAAGGAUCAGUUUGGAUGCAACAAAUAAUGUUUCUCCAAGGCACACACAAAAUACAAAACCAUUUUCUUUCACAUAGAGUAGGUUUUUUUGCUUUUAUACUGUUUAGAGGAAACUAAGAGCUUUAAUUUUAUAUUAAAAUGAAUUAUUUUCUAAUAGUUUCGGAACAAAAUAUUAUCUUCUAUAUUUCACAACAAAAUAAAUAUAGCAAUUUAG